GACGAACGCUGGCGGCGUGCUUAACACAUGCAAGUCGAACGGAAAGGCCCUUCGGGGUACUCGAGUGGCGAACGGGUGAGUAACACGUGGGUGAUCUGCCCUGCACUUUGGGAUAAGCCUGGGAAACUGGGUCUAAUACCGAAUAGGACCACGCGCUUCAUGGUGUGUGGUGGAAAGCUUUUGCGGUGUGGGAUGGGCCCGCGGCCUAUCAGCUUGUUGGUGGGGUAAUGGCCUACCAAGGCGACGACGGGUAGCCGGCCUGAGAGGGUGACCGGCCACACUGGAACUGAGAUACGGCCCAGACUCCUACGGGAGGCAGCAGUGGGGAAUAUUGCACAAUGGGCGCAGCCUGAUGCAGCGACGCCGCGUGAGGGAUGACGGCCUUCGGGUUGUAAACCUCUUUCAAUAGGGACGAAGCGCAAGUGACGGUACCUAGAGAAGAAGCACCGGCCAACUACGUG
rnacentral:rRNA from 1 species